rnacentral:rRNA from 1 species
UACGAAGGGGGCGAGCGUUGUUCGGAAUCACUGGGCGUAAAGGGCGCGUAGGCGGCCCUUCUUGUCGCGUGUGAAAGCCCCGGGCUCAACCUGGGAACGGCGCGCGAGACGGGGGGGCUGGAGUUCGGGAGAGGAGCGUGGAAUUCCCAGUGUAGAGGUGAAAUUCGUAGUAUUGGGAAGAACACCGGUGGCGAAGGCGGCGCUCUGG